GUCCUGGGUCAGAGGGAGGGGGGAGACCGCCCUUGGCUCCUGGGAGUCCGCCUGGUUCUCUACCUCCCUCCUCUGGGCUCACCUGGUUUUGUCUCGCCUGGUGUGGACGCCUACUGUCUCUCCCCGUGUCCCUUUCCUGGAACAACAUGGACCUACCGGUUUGCUGUGGGAGGGCGGUGGGUUUGGGGACUGUGGAAGAGCCUCCUGAGUUCUUCUUUUUCUGUUUCUUACUGGGAUUGCCUGUCUGUUGAGUCUGAAAUUUGCAAGCGUCAAAGAAAAUGCAGGGCAGUAUUUAUUUUUAAGAGUUCAAAGCAGGACGUAGGCACCUUACUUUUUAUGACAUGCAGAGCAGGAUUCUUUGGGGAAGAAUUUGAGCUACAAUCGUAAAGCAAUUUCAGAGGGAAGCAAGAGUGUUUCAUAGAAUCAUUUUGUUCUGCGCCUGUUUAUGCUGUCCCAACUGGCGUGUAGUGAUUGGCAUUAAACUUCUGCGUAGAUAAGGUGAUGUUCAUCUGCUCCCUGUAGAAGGGAAGGUCGCUUAAUGGCUUUCUCUGCUGAACGGGCCACAGAUGGUGUUCUCUGUGCCUUGGGACAGUGCUGAUCAGAUUCUGAGUUAACACAGCAACACAACCUCAGUUUAAUAACAGUCAACUGUGUUAAGCAUUGCUGUCAUUUUAGCGCUAAUAUCUAUAUAAAUAAUCUACACUAAUAUUUAUAGUGUAACGACCUCCUGUUGUGUUCAGUGCUGCAAAAGUUGUUAAACCAAUGAGAUGAUGCAGGGAUGUGUCAAGCGUAGAACCUAGCAGAUAGCAAGUGAGAAAGUGCCCAGGAGAUGAUCAUACAGAAAGCUAUGCUAAGUUAUCUAGCAAGAUGCAGUGUGUAUUUUAAAAGUUGCAGUAGUGCUUUCAAAAUGUUGGGAGUCCCUAAAAUUAAAUUCUUAAAUAGGGCAGCUUUUUUGUGUUUGAGAACUACUGUGAAAUAAUUACAAUUAUUAUUAUAUGAAUGUCCCUGAUAUCUAAAAAAGAAAAAAUAAGAUUUUUAUGUUGACAACUAUAUAUUUUUCCUUAAAGUCAUCUUUAAUAAAGUAUAAUGUACUUUGAAUAGAAUUUUGACUUGAAAAAUAAAGCUUCCUGGAAAUGAAGCAAAGCUUUUAAGUGGACCUUCUGUGCAAUGAAGAAUGACUCCUGGAUUCCUGUCAGUGUCCAGGUGCUUCUGUCUCCAUACCUCAGGCAGCAAACCUAACAGGAAUAAAUGCUGCCCCUGUGUGUGUGUAGAGGAGGCUCUCAUGACAUUGGUGUUGAUGGGUUUUGAGAAUGGGUUGGUACCUGUAUAGGUCUGGAGAGUAGGUUUCAGUCAUGCUGGGUGAGGUUAUUAUUCCGUGUGAGCAGAAGUGGUCUGAUUUGUGCCCCACAUGUCGGGGGCCUGCUCAAUAUUGGGGACUGUGCUGGGGGCAGAGUCUGUUCUUGCUACUGUAGUGUUUUUUGGAAGCAAGUUGUCAUGGUUUUAAACUAAUAGACAUCAUUCUUUUUGACUGCAGUUAUCUAGCAUGCAGCACACAAGAGGUCAACAUAUGUGUAGGGCAUGUUUGCAGACAAUAUGGAAUUUUUGAUAAGGAUGCACGAUUAAUUAGAAAGCUGAUAGAAUCCUGGCAAAGCAUGUGGCUAGAUGGUGUAACAUGAUGUGUUUGUGCCCUAGGAUGCCUCUGGCCCUUUUGACCACAGUUCCUGGGAGGAUGUUCCCACUUGCCAUUAUAAAAAUGCAAAAAGGGCCAUGCCCUUGGAUUGUUUCCCCUUGGCUCCUGAAUGAGAAUUAAGGACCUGGCAUUUGAAGGUUGCUGUUUUGCAGUAAUUUCACGCACUUUUCCAGAGAUUCCCGCUCCAUCUCUCCCAAGGUUGACUUAAAUCUUUGCACUCCAACUCAAGCACGUUCUCCUUACUGUUCUUGUUCUGGAUGACAUACGGACAGCCCUUUGAAAAAGAAAAGCUCUCUAGACAGCAUAGAGAGGGAGGAGGUACAUGGGGUUUGAUGACUCUUUACCAGAACUCCUGUCCUUCCCUGGGUCCCUGGCCCAUAGGAUGGGAACGAGUACAGCAGUGUCUGAAAAUUAAGUUAGACAUUUUUCAUGCUGGUAGAUAUUUAGGGUGAAUAUUAAACAUGUACACAGAUGAAAAUAUUUAUCAAAAAAGCCAUAUACAUAAAGUGGGAGGAUGUACUAGGUGGAGUCAUAUAAUUAAAUGACAAGGUUCUUAGUUUGAGACUUCAGAAUGUUCUGUUGUAUACUUUUUAAGCAAAUAGCAGACUUUGUUGGAAAGACACAUUUCUCUUAUGGAGCUCAGUAUCCGGAACAAUAUAGUUGGUCCUGCAAGGAGCUAAAUGAGAACUGGAAAGUCAUUAGGUUCCAGGGCAGUACCGUCCCACACUUUUGGGGUCUUCCUCAUACUUUCCUAUGCAUUUAUGUCAUUUUCUCUUUGCAAACUGCCUGUCUAGCUGCUGUUGGCUUGCGGGGCAGAUAUUCUCCUCUGUACCUAGCUCCUUGUUUCAAGAACUAAAAGAGACUCCAUUCUCUAUCUAACUGUGAACUGUAUCUGAAAUUUUCCACGAAGUCAUAAAGUUAGAAGUAUUGUAGCUAAGAUGACUACAGCUUUGUUUCCGCUUAGUUGCUGUUUCUCAAGGAAGAGGCGAACAAUUGCCACUGUUGGAUAAUUCUGUAUAUGAAUGUGUUGUGAGCACAUUUCACAAUACCAAGUGUUAGAAAGUGCCCUUAAACCUUUAGUCUUCCUAGGCUACGUCUGGGAGACUCAGAAACAGAAACUUUUAUGGUUUCAACAGGCAGUGUUGCUUUUUUUUGGCUUCUCCUGGCAGUGUACUAUGUAAUGUGGCCACAGAGCUAUCAACGUACAGAUUAUAUCUAAUUAUAAAAUGUCAUAAGAAAAAGGAACAAACUGUUGACAUAUGCAAUGAUUUGGAUGGAGCUUAAGGCAUUGUACUGAGUGAAAAAAGCCAAUCUUCAAAGGCUGUGUGAUUGAUUCCAUUUAUACAGCAUUCUCAAAAUGACAACAUUAUAGAAAUUGAGAAGAGAUCCAUUUUUCCGUGGUCACAACUGG
rnacentral:lncRNA from 1 species